UAUAAUAUGACAAAAAAAUAUUAUAUUUAAAAUUGAAUUAAAUUAGGAAUAACAAACAACACAAAUCAAUGAUUCACGUAAUUGCAAGAGUGCGAUAUCUUCCACAAAACCAAAGAAAAAAAACCGGAAAAGCAGAAGGAAAGUAAAUCAAUUUAUUAAUACAAUGAGAUAGCAUAUUUAUCUUUUUACUAGGAAUUAUUUCACAAAAGAAGAAUUCUGUGUACUGUGUGCUUGUGUCUUAAUCGUGUCGAUACCUUCAAACCUCACAGCCAAAUGUAAUGUAAAAUGCACUUGGAAUGCCCGCUCGUUAGCGAAAACGUCUAUUCUUUGACGAUAAACAUGGUUAAAUGACAACAAAGCUCUUGUUUAUCAAUCGCCUCAUUAUGCCCACCACAAAAAGUCUCAUAACUUUUUAAAAAGAUACACGUCAUGUCUGUGCGCUGCAAAAAAAAGCAAACAGCAACAAGCAAGACAAUCCCAACCUUGCAUUGCAGCUCAUUCAAUACCCAAAUCCUUCGGCUCCCUAAAAUCUCCCUCACUUUAUGUAAAUGGUAUCAGAACCAAGACCCGUUGAUUAAAAGCCAUCUUAGAAGAUCACUUCACUGCCUGUGCAAAUGAUGGUGUCCAAACUUGGACGACAUGUGCAUGUAAAGUGAAGUGUUGAAACAAUGGCAUCUUGAAAGUUGAUGUAUAAGAAAUAUUUAAAAGAACGUUAUGGUAAUUGUUUCAGAGCAUCAUUUAGGUCCCCAAUUGGUUACAGAUAUAAUCUGCCUGCAUUGAUGUCGUCCUGUUUCUUUAGGAAAUGUCUUCUACAAAUGGCUGUAAAGCCGAGAUCCCGAGAAAAUGAUAUCUGCAUGAAUUUUCUUCGCAAUUACUUUCCCCUCCUUAACAGCUAUGCAGGGGAAGGAAUUAAGGCAGUACACAUGGAGUCCCAACCCAACUCAACCAAUCCCCGAGGACAACGUAUACAGCAGACUUUUUAAAUUAAGUUUAUCCAUGUAUUAUAUUUGUUUAUAUUUUAUAACUUUGUUCAUUAUUUAACGUUAGGCCCCCUUUGUGCCAACAAGAUUUUGUAACUAUCAAUGUAUCUUAGAAAUAAGUUAUUUUAAGUCAAUUGUAAAUAGCAAGUUCAAUAAACCAAAAUUGAAUUGCAAUACA